rnacentral:rRNA from 1 species
UCUGACCUCAAAUCAGGUAGACUCCC